rnacentral:lncRNA from 1 species
CCCAUUACAUUACACUAAAAAUAAAAUAAAACAAAAAAAUGAAUAAACAAAAAAAAAUGUAUUCUCCUUCUUUCCUUGAGUCGCGCCUCCUCCCCUUCUUUUCAGCUUCACUAUUCUCCUCAUUUUUUACUAAUAAUGCUAUAAUAUUUACUAAGAAUGCAAACAAACAAAAAAUUCAACCACUCUUUUCAAUAUUUAUCUCUACACAAAUCCAUAAUUUUUACAUAAACAAUAAAAAAUUAGAUCUCAAUUUGUCUCAUGAACACAAAUAUUCAUCCUUAUAGUUUAUAAAUUAAUAAUAAAAAAAUCAAACAACGAUGAGUUUUAUUUUUUUUUCUAUAGGAAGGAAAUUUUUUUUUUCUUUUUUUUGAUACCUUCGUUGAUGAACCGUUAACCUCGUGUAGUAUACUUGGUGAUUUGUGUCGUUUACUCUGCUUGAGUGGGUACACAAGGGUAAGGCUAUCCAAGUGAGCAGUUUCUCCUCUUCACUAUGGUUAAAGUCAGUUUGCAAUACAAAGUCUAUUCCAUUCCUUAUUUUCACAUGUUCUCCCUCUUUUAAAAACUAACCUCUUCAAGUACGACAAGUCCCUUCCAACGAUAGUUAUACUAUAAGUGCAUGGUUAAAAAUAAUAAAAAA